UACGGGGGGGGUAAGCGUUGUUCGGAAUUACUGGGCGUAAAGGGCGUGUAGGCGGUCAAGUAAGUGGAAUGUGAAACGCCUCGGCUUACCCGAGGACCUGCAUCCCAAACUGCUUGGCUUGAGUAUGGGAGAGGAUGAGGGAAUUCCUGGUGUAGCGGUGAAAUGCGUAGAUAUCAGGAGGAACACCGGUGGCGAAAGCGCUCAUCUGGCCCAAUACUGACGCUGAGGCGCGAAAGCUAGGGGAGCAAACGGG
rnacentral:rRNA from 1 species